GAACGAUAAAGUUUCAGUAAAUUUUGUAAGCAUUGAAGUUACUCGGGAAUAAACAAUUUGAAUUUACAUCUAAUGGAGCAACAAGUGACGCAAUGAAAAAAAUUGGUUUGAUUUCAAGAGUGCUAUUGUUAAAGUCCCACAGGGAACUGCUGGAAAAUCCACGCCAGUUAUGCAAGGCCGAAAAGUUAACUUGCAUUCAUCCCAGAUAUAAUUUUCUCGCAGAUCACACAUGGAUAAGUUCUGCGAUGACUUUAAAAAUAUGCUGAGAAAAUCCACUUUGCAUAUCACAAGAGAGAGACAUUUUGUUCUCAGUGAACAGAUGUUUAAACUCAUAAAGCUAAAGGGCAGUAUCAUAACACUACGUAAAUUAGUAGAGCGCUCUUUUGACAGAGCAUUGUUAAUUACAGUUAUUGAGGGCAAAACCAAGAGCUAACGAGUACUCAGAGAAAUCCCACAAAACCGAAAAUUUCGAUUGAUCAAA